GACGAACGCUGGCGGCGUGCUUAAUACAUGCAAGUCGAACGGAAAGGCCCUGCUUUUGUGGGGUGCUCGAGUGGCGAACGGGUGAGUAACACGUGAGUAACCUGCCCUUGACUUUGGGAUAACUUCAGGAAACUGGGGCUAAUACCGGAUAGGAGCUCCUGCUGCAUGGUGGGGGUUGGAAAGUUUCGGCGGUUGGGGAUGGACUCGCGGCUUAUCAGCUUGUUGGUGGGGUAGUGGCUUACCAAGGCUUUGACGGGUAGCCGGCCUGAGAGGGUGACCGGCCACAUUGGGACUGAGAUACGGCCCAGACUCCUACGGGAGGCAGCAGUGGGGAAUAUUGCACAAUGGGCGGAAGCCUGAUGCAGCAACGCCGCGUGCGGGAUGACGGCCUUCGGGUUGUAAACCGCUUUCGCCUGUGACGAAGCGCGAGUGACGGUAAUGGGUAAAGAAGCACCGGCUAACUACGUG
rnacentral:rRNA from 1 species